rnacentral:ncRNA from 1 species
AAAACAGUGAAGAUGGGAAGAGUAAAUAUAUCAUCUUAGUUACAGAGAGCCGGAUUAGGUGAAAGCCGGUACUGAGGGAUAUAUUGAAGAUGGACCCUGAACUGCCUGAUUGAAAUAAUAGUAGGUCAGGUCGGAUUUGCAUCCGUUAUAAGUGCAAGGUGAUUAUUAGUCACUUAGUGAGGUCAUUAUGGCGACAUAAUGACAAAUUAGGGUGGUAACGCGAGAUAAUCCUCGUCCCUUUU